rnacentral:rRNA from 1 species
UACGGGGGGGGCAAGCGUUGUUCGGAAUUGUUGGGCGUAAAGGGCUCGUAGGCGGUCUGUUGCGUCAGGAGUGAAAACUCGGGGCUUAACCCCGAGCCUGCUUCUGAUACGGGCAGACUAGAGGUAUGCAGGGGAGAACGGAAUUCCUGGUGUAGCGGUGAAAUGCGCAGAUAUCAGGAGGAACACCGGUGGCGAAGGCGGUUCUCUGGGCAUUACCUGACGCUGAGGUGCGAAAGCGUGGGGAGCAAACAGG